UACGUAGGGUGCGAGCGUUGUCCGGAAUUACUGGGCGUAAAGAGCUCGUAGGUGGUUUGUCGCGUUGUUCGUGAAAACUCACAGCUCAACUGUGGGCGUGCGGGCGAUACGGGCAGACUGGAGUACUGCAGGGGAGACUGGAAUUCCUGGUGUAGCGGUGGAAUGCGCAGAUAUCAGGAGGAACACCGGUGGCGAAGGCGGGUCUCUGGGCAGUAACUGACGCUGGAGGAGCGGAAAGCCGUGGGGAGCGAAACAGG
rnacentral:rRNA from 1 species